ACUUGGCUUCAUGAAUCACAACCACACAUCCAUCCACCGUUGCAUCAUAUCAUAUUAAAAUUAAUGAGACAUAUUAUUGAACCUGAAAAAUACUUUUGAUUCAAACCUUUUUUGCUUGCUCUAAAAAGUCCACUCCUCUGCUUCAUAAGAAAAUGUCACUCUCCAUUGUUUGCUGAAUAAUGACUUCGGCCACUCUUUCUUCAGGCAAAUGGGAAGGGCUUCUCUGAAUUCUCUGGCCUUCGCAACUCAUCAAUAGGUUACCUUUCCUUUUCUUCUAGAAAAAGUUCUGAGGACUUCCAUUCAGUCAUUGCCUUCCAGACUUCAGCAUUUGAAGGUUGGAGGCAGAGAAGGAAACACAAAAGGCGUAGUAGAAGCAAAACUAAAGGUAGCCAUAAACGGAUUUGGGAGGAUUGGAAGAAACUUCUUGAGAUGCUGGAACGGUCGCAAAGACUCUCCUUUACACAUCAUUGCGAUCAACGACACUACUGGAGGUGUCAAACAAGCCUCUCAAGCCUCACUUUCUCAAGUAUGAUUCCACCCUUGGAAUCUUUGAUGCUGAUGUCAAGCCUGUUGGUGACAAUGGAAAGGUCAUCAGGGUUGUCUCUGACCGCAACCCUAUCAACCUUCCUUGGAAGGACUUGGAAAUCGACUUUUGAUUGAAGGAACUGGAGUAUUUGUGGACAGAGACGGUGCAGGAAAGCACAUUCAAGCCGGAGCAAAGAAGAUUUUGAUCACAGCUCCUGGCAAGGGAGAUAUUCCUACCUACGUGGUUGGUGUCAAUGCUGGUAUUUACGACCCAGAUGAACCCAUCAUCAGCAAUGCUUCUAGUACCCUUCGUCAAGGUCCUUGAUCAGAAAUUCGAUCGUUUGCACAUUCUUGAUCACAUUCGUCCUAAGCUUCAAGCAGUGGUGAGUGGUAAAUGGAGUCCUCCACUGUUUCUGGUUUAUAAUUUCCCCCACAUUGUUGCUUUGAUUGAAGAAAUCUCUAUCCCUGUUGUGCACAAUUGCGAUAAACUAGUUUGGAAAGAGUCCAUCUCUGGGGACCUCUCCCUAAAGGAUUCUUAUCUUUUUAUGUUCCCUAGUUUUGUGGUUAUAAAAUGGUGAAAGUUGAUAUGGAACAAAUGCAUUCCCCCUGAGAAAGAGAGGGAUCAUUGUUGUUUCUGUUUGUAAUAAUUGUGGAAAUCAAUGAGACAAUUGAGCAUUUGUUUCUUCA